rnacentral:rRNA from 1 species
AGUGAACGCUGGCGGUAGGCCUAACACAUGCAAGUCGAACGGCAGCACAGUACGAACUUGCCCUUACGGGUGGCGAGUGGCGGACGGGUGAUGAAUACAUCGGAAUCUCCUUUUUCGUGGGGCAUAACGUAGGGAAACUUACGCUAAUACCGCAUACGACCUACGGGUGAAAGCAGGGGAUCUUCGGACCUUUCGCGAUUGAAUCAGCCGAUGUCGGAUUAGAUAGUUGGCGGGGUAAAGGCCCACCAAGGCGACGAUCCGGAGCUGGGCUGCCCGGAUGAUCAGCCAAACUGGAACUGAGGAACGGUCCAGACUCCUACGGGAGGCAGCAGUGGGGAAUAUUGGACAAUGGGCGCAAGCCUGAUCCAGCCGUACCGCGUGGGUGAAGAAGGCCUUCGGGUUGUAAAGCCCUUUUGUUGGGAAAGAAAAGCAGCAGGUUAAUACCCCGCUGUUCUGACGGUACCCAAAGAAUAAGCACCGGCUAACUUCGUG